UACGUAGGGGGCAAGCGUUGUCCGGAAUUAUUGGGCGUAAAGCGCGCGCAGGCGGUCAAUUAAGUUGGGUGUUUAAGCCCGGGGCUCAACCCCGGUUCGCAUCCAAAACUGGUUGACUUGAGUGUAGGAGAGGAAAGUGGAAUUCCACGUGUAGCGGUGAAAUGCGUAGAGAUGUGGAGGAACACCAGUGGCGAAGGCGACUUUCUGGCCUAUAACUGACGCUGAGGCGCGAAAGCGUGGGGAGCAAACAGGAUUAGAUACCCCGUGUAGU
rnacentral:rRNA from 1 species